rnacentral:rRNA from 1 species
AGUGAACGCUGGCGGCAGGCCUAACACAUGCAAGUCGAACGGCAGCACAGUAAGAGCUUGCUCUUACGGGUGGCGAGUGGCGGACGGGUGAGGAAUACAUCGGAAUCUACUUUUUCGGGGGGGAUAACGUAGGGAAACUUACGCUAAUACCGCAUACGACCUACGGGUGAAAGCAGGGGAUCUUCGGACCUUGCGCGAUUGAAUGAGCCGAUGUCGGAUUAGCUAGUUGGCGGGGUAAAGGCCCACCAAGGCGACGAUCCGUAGCUGAUCUGAGAGGAUGAUCGGCCACACUGGAACUGAGACACGGUCCAGACUCCUACGGGAGGCAGCAGUGGGGAAUAUUGGACAAUGGGCGCAAGCCUGAUCCAGCCAUACCGCGUGGGUGAAGAAGGCCUUCGGGUUGUAAAGCCCUUUUGUUGGGAAAGAAAAGCAGCAGGUUAAUACCCCGCUGUUCUGACGGUACCCAAAGAAUAAGCACCGGCUAACUUCGUG